CGAGUCGGCCGGGCGGCCGCGUCGAGCGUCUCGCGACGUUCGUCGAGGAAAGUCCGGACUCCGCAGAGCAGGGUGGUGGGUAACACCCACCCGGGGCGACCCGCGGGACAGUGCCACAGAAAACAGACCGCCAGCGGCCCCGGCUCGACGAGCCGGGGUGCGGGUAAGGGUGAAACGGUGGUGUAAGAGACCACCAGCACCUGGGGUGACUCAGGUGGCUAGGUAAACCCCACCCGGAGCAAGGCCAAGAAGGGACGGCACUUUCGGGUGCCGAUCCCGCGCAGGCGUUCGAGGGCUGCUCGCCCGAGCCUGCGGGUAGGCCGCUGGAGGUCGCCGGCAACGGCGACCCGAGAUGGAUGGCCGCCGACCACAGAAUCCGGCUUACAGGCCGGCUCGUCCA
rnacentral:RNase_P_RNA from 1 species